CAGUCGCCACGGGAAUACGGAGGAUCCAAGCGUUAUCCGGAUUUAUUGGGUUUAAAGGGUGCGUAGGCGGCUUUUUAAGUCAGGGGUGAAAGACGGUAGCUUAACUAUCGCAGUGCCCUUGACACUGAAGAGCUUGAAUAUAAUUGAGGUAGGCGGAAUGUGACAAGUAGCGGUGAAAUGCAUAGAUAUGUCACAGAACACCAAUUGCGAAGGCAGCUUACUAAGCUAUGAUUGACGCUGAGGCACGAAAGCGUGGGGAUCAAACAGGAUUAGAUACCCCAGUAGUCCCUGUCUCUUAUAC
rnacentral:rRNA from 1 species